CCUACGGGUGGCUGCAGUGGGGAAUAUUGGACAAUGGGCGCAAGCCUGAUCCAGCAAUGCCGCGUGUGUGAAGAAGGCCUGCGGGUUGUAAAGCACUUUAAGCCGGAAAGAAGGGGUGGUGGUUAAUACCCGCCAUCAUUGACGUUACCGGCAGAAUAAGCACCGGCUAACUCCGUGCCAGCAGCCGCGGUAAUACGGAGGGUGCGAGCGUUAAUCGGAAUUGCGGGGGGUAAAGCGCGCGUAGGCGGUGAAAGCCCUGGGCUUAACCUGGGAAUGGCAGUGGAUACUGGUUGGCUAGAGUGUGGUAGAGGGGAGUGGAAUUUCCGGUGUAGCAGUGAAAUGCGUAGAGAUCGGAAGGAACACCAGUGGCGAAGGCGGCUCCCUGGACCAACACUGACGCUGAGGUGCGAAAGCGUGGGGAGCAAACAGGAUUAGAUACCCCUGUAGUC
rnacentral:rRNA from 1 species